rnacentral:lncRNA from 1 species
UAAAACUAUGUGAACCACUACAAUGGAGAUAGAUUUGGAAGGUGGAAAAGAUGAUGGCAUUAGUGUCGGGUUAAUUCAAUAGAUUUAGUUGUGGAAGGCAUCUGUAAUGCACCAUGGUCUUCGAGAUUCAACAUCACUCAGCUCUACUAGCACAUGCCUUCUACUCAUUUCUUCGUUGGGUUCCACUCAUCAAAUAAGAGGGUCAUGAGGUU